AGCUGUCCCAGAGCCUUUUACGGGCAUUCAUCUGGAAACCAGCUGCUGGACGGGCAUUCGGACCAUGAUUAUGUGUCACCGGUGAGUAUUACCUAUCCUAGAAUUCCAACAUGCCAGAUUUGCAGAGAUAGAUAUUGCGAUACCUUUUUAGACUGUGGACACAUACUGUGCUACGUUUGCAGCUGCGAAUUGGAAGAAAGGGGUUCGGUAUGCCCCAUUUGCAGGUGUCAGUUCAAAAUGUCAAAAAAAAACGGUUUUACUAAAUAAAACUAUGUUUCUUG